rnacentral:rRNA from 1 species
GGCGAACGCUGGCGGCGUGCUUAACACAUGCAAGUCGAACGGAAAGGCCCUGCUUUUGUGGGGUGCUCGAGUGGCGAACGGGUGAGUAACACGUGAGUAACCUGCUCUUGACUUUGGGAUAACUUCAGGAAACUGGGGCUAAUACCGGAUAGGAGCUCCUGCUGCAUGGUGGGGGUUGGAAAGUUUCGGCGGUUGGGGAUGGACUCGCGGCUUAUCAGCUUGUUGGUGGGGUAGUGGCUUACCAAGGCUUUGACGGGUAGACGGCCUGAGAGGGUGACCGGCCACAUUGGGACUGAGGUACGGCACAGACUCCUACGGGAGGCAGCAGUGGGGAAUAUUGCACAAUGGGCGGAAGCCUGAUGCAGCAACGCCGCGUGCGGGAUGACGGCCUUCGGGUUGUAAACCGCUUUCGCCUGUGACGAAGCGUGAGUGACGGUAAUGGGUAAAGAAGCACCGGCUAACUACGUG